UCUACCAAAGGAUAAUAGUA
rnacentral:tRNA from 1 species